ensembl:lncRNA
GCCACACGUGCGCGGGGCGCCGUGCGCAUGCGCGGCUGGCUGGGAGCACGGAGGGGCGUGGCCAGCUCCGUGCCCCGCCCACCCAGCGAGGGGGGUGAUGAGGAAGGCCACGCCCCUCUAUGAGCAUCGCGCCCGCCCAUUGGCUGCCUCCGCGGGCCAAUGGGGCCGCUCCUUGGAUUGCGGCGGGCGCCGGGGCCGGGGCCGGGGCCGGGGCCGGGAGCCUGAGGGGGGCUUGACGGGGCUUUAACGGGGCCCAGUUGGGGUCUAAAGGCUCUUAACGGGAGAAACCGGGCCCUAACGAGGCUUAACGGGGGUAUAACGGGGCCUAAUUGGGGCCAACCGGGGCCUAAUCCCCCUUAACGGGGGAGACCGGGGCCUAACGGGGCCAAACCGGGGCCUAACGGGGCCAAACCGGGGUUUAACGGGACCUAAUGGGGCCUAAUGGCUCUUAAUAGGGGAAACCGGGGCCUAACGGGGCCAAACCGGCGUUUAACGAGGCCUGACGGGGCAACGGCACCGGGACCACUGGGACUGUGAUCACCAGUCACCGGGACCACUAAGACCAGUUCCGGGACUGGGACCAGCACCACCAGGACUACUGGGACCCCUGGGAUCACCACCACUGGGAGCCCUGGGACUGGGAUCACUGCUACCAGGAGCACCGGGACUGGGAGCACUGAGAUCACCAUCAGUGGGAGCACUGGGAACACCGGGACCAGGAGCUGUGGGAUUGGGACCGGGACUGGGACCAGCACUGGGACCACUGGGAGCGGGAUCACCACCACUGGGAGCACUGGGUCCAGGAGCAAUGGGAUUGGGACUGACACCACGAGCGCCGGGAUCAGGACUGCGAUCACCAGGACUGGGGGUCACCAACACCAGGGACUGGGAGCACUGGGACCAUCAAAACCAGGAGUGCCGGGACUGGGACCAGUACCAGGAGCACUGGGACCAGCACCGGGAGCACCACAGCGAGCGGUUCCAACCCCUUUUGGGGUGAAAAUCCUGAAAUUGGAGGGUUUUGGAAUGCAAAUCCUGAAAUGGGAGGUUUUUUUGGGGUGGAACUCCUGAAAUUGGGAUUUGUUUUGGAGGAGAAACCUUGGAAUUAGAGAAAUUUUGGGGUGAAAGUGCUGAAAUCGGAGAUGAAACCUUGAAAUUUGAGAUUUUUUUUUAAGGAGAGGACCUGAAAUUGGAUUUUAUUUGAGGAAAGAACCAGAAACUGGAGGGUUUCGCUGGAAAAUCCCUAAAAUUGGCGUUGUUUGGGGGUGGGAGUCCUGAAAUUGGACAUUUUUUUGACCAAAAAUGGCAAAAUCAGAGGGUUUUUGAAGGAAAAACCUCGAAAUCGGAGACUUUUCUUGGGGAGGGGGACCCUAGCAUCGUAAUUGGGGGCGGGGAGGUCUAAAAUUAGAGUUUUCUGCCAGAAAAGCCCUAAAAUUGGGGAUUUUGGGGGGGAGGAGCCCUCGGGGGGGGCUGCCCCUUCCCCUUCCGCCGCGGGGCACGCCGGGAGCGGCGCGGGGGGCGCCGGGAAAGCGACACGUCGCCUAGGCAACCGCAGCGUGAAAAGGCGGCGCGCGUGGGGGUUGCCUAGCAACAGGGGAGGAGCGCGAACGCUGAUUGGGCGCUGCGCGGCAACGGGGAAGGAGCGGCGAGGGCGUCGCUUAGCAACGUGCGAGCGGGGGGGCGGAAGGAGGCGGCGCGGUUGCUUGGCAACGGGCGUGGCGGGAGGACGGCGGUAUCCGGGCGUCGCCUAGCAACGCACGCUCGCAAGGGAGGGUGGGAAAUGGAGGCGUCGCCAGGCAACAGCCGCCGCCAGGCUGCAAGAACCCGGAAGUGGAACCGGAAGUGGGGGAGAACGGGAAUUUGGGGGAGGGAUAACGGCGAGGGAGGCGGGUAGCGGCGAGGGGGGGUCCCGGUAGCGACCCGCGGCGGAGGCAGCCGAACUGCGAAACGUUUAUUGGUUCUUUCCUUUAUACAUUCGUAAA